AAAUUAAUUAAUUUUGUGACUAAAAAAUAAUACAUCACCUAAGCUCGAGUCGGCUGGACGGCGGCGGCGCGUGAUGGUCGACAUGGUGUGCGAAGUUUCCCGUUUACAAAACUGGGGACCCCUUAGGGUGUAAGUAGUCACCUUAGACAUAUAUACACUACUAAAUAGAGUCUUCUUACCAAUGUGAGACUUUUUCCCACCUUUUUUCAAUUCACACUCCUUAGUUUCAAGUCCUACAGACCA
rnacentral:lncRNA from 1 species